rnacentral:rRNA from 1 species
GACGAACGCUGGCGGCGUGCUUAACACAUGCAAGUCGAACGGUGAACCUCGUCGGAGGGGAUCAGUGGCGAACGGGUGGGUAACACGUGGGUAACCUGCCCCCGGCUCUGGGAUAAUUGCAAGAAUUCGGGGCUAAUACCUUAUGUGCACCGCUUCCCGCAUGGGUGUCGGUGGAAAGGGUUUCCGGCUGGGGGUGGGGUCGCGGCCUACCAGGUUGUCGGUGGGGUAGUGGACUACGAAGGCGACGACGCGUAGCCGGCCUGAGAUGGUGACCUGACACACUGGGACUGAGACGAGGCCCAGACUCAUACGGGAGGCAGAAGUGGAGUAUAUUACGCUAUGGGCGGAGGCCUGACGCAGCGACGCCGCGUGGGGGAUGACGGCAUUCGGGUUGUAAACCUCUUUCAGCAGAGACGAAGAGAAAGUGACGGUACCUGCAGAAGAAGCACCGGCCAACUACGUG